rnacentral:tRNA from 1 species
GGAGAGGUAGCGAAGUCCGGUCGUAACGCGCCCGACUCGAAAUCGGGUUGUCCUUUUGUCGGGGCACGUGGGUUCGAAUCCCACCCUCUCCG